CGGGAGUUACUCAAGCUCGACUGAAGGCGAUGGACUCGAAAUCCGUUAGGCGGCUUCUUGUCGUGCGAGGGUUCAAAUCGCUCACUCUCGG
rnacentral:tRNA from 1 species